CAGGGAGGUCCCGAGCUGCGGCUGCUGCGGCUGGUCAGGAGGGCGGGGGCUGCGGGGGCGCGCCGGCCGGGCUGCGGGGUUCGCCUCCCCGAGCGGCGGGGGAACAAUGACAGCCCGAUGGGAAGUGGGAGGGGGGCUGGAACAGCCUCCGGAAAGCGCCCCUGCCCGCACCGGUGUUCUCGUGCUCGGCGGUGCUAAAACAAGCUUGCUCCGAAGAGCUGUAGAUGCUGUUUCUGCCGAGUGAAAAUACUUUCUGUUGGCUCUGCUGUUACACACCUGUGUGUGAAGAAGGGAUUUGAUGGACUGACUCGCUGCCUGGAAAUCGAGUGCUGGAGGGGGACCUCUGAAGCCUCCAGUCAGCCACUGGUGGUGGUCCCACCGCUGAGAAUCAAAGAUACCUCCCCUCCCGUGGCCAUGACGACAUUGUUAAAUGAGUUUUGCUCCUCGAGGAUGGACACCUCAGCACUCACUUCUCUCUGCCACAGUCCCAGAUGAAGACUCUGACGUGUUCAGCAAAGCGGACAUGUCCUGUUCCUAUAGUAGCCACGAGUCCUAUGUAGGUGCUGAGCACUGGAAAUGGGGCUAGUCCAAACUGAAACGUGCUGUCCAUGUAACCUGCACACUGGAUUUCAAAGACUGGAAAAGUAACAGCUCAUCAACACCUUUAACAGUAAUUAUAUGCUGAAAGAAUAUUUGGGAUCCCCUGAGUUAAAUACAUAAUUAAAAUUUACCUGUUUCUUAUGUGUUUUUAAUGUGGCUCCUAGAAAAUGUUAAAUUACAUAUACGGUCUGUGGGGGCCGAAAACAUUCUUGAUCUGGGUGAUGGAGAUACAUAUGUGUAUGUGUGUACAUGCUAGAGUUCGCCAAACUGUGACCUUAAGCCUUGGGUACUGUACUGCUGUAUGUAAAUAAAAAUCAGUUA